UGGGGAAUUUUGGACAAUGGGCGAAAGCCUGAUCCAGCAAUGCCGCGUGUGUGAAGAAGGCCUUCGGGUUGUAAAGCACUUUUGUCCGGAAAGAAAUCCUCUGGGUUAAUACCUCGGGGGGAUGACGGUACCGGAAGAAUAAGCACCGGCUAACUACGUGCCAGCAGCCGCGGUAAUACGUAGGGUGCAAGCGUUAAUCGGAAUUACUGGGCGUAAAGCGUGCGCAGGCGGUUUUGUAAGACGGAUGUGAAAUCCCCGGGCUUAACCUGGGAACCGCAUUCGUGACUGCAAGGCUAGAGUAUGGCAGAGGGGGGUAGAAUUCCACGUGUAGCAGUGAAAUGCGUAGAGAUGUGGAGGAAUACCGAUGGCGAAGGCAGCCCCUGGGCCAAUACUGACGCUCAUGCACGAAAGCGU
rnacentral:rRNA from 1 species